AUUGCACAAUGGGCGCAAGCCUGAUGCAGCCAUGCCGCGUGUGUGAAGAAGGCCUUCGGGUUGUAAAGCACUUUCAGUCAGGAGGAAAGGUURGUAGUUAAUCCUGCURGCUGUGACGUACUGACAGAAGAAGCACCGGCUAACUCCGUGCCAGCACGCGCGGUAAUACGGAGGGUGCGAGCGUUAAUCGGAAAUUACUGGGCGUAAAGCGUACGCAGGCGGUUUGUUAAGCGAGAUGUGAAAGCCCCGGGCUCAACCUGGGAACUGCAUUUCGAACUGGCAAACUAGAGUGUGAUAGAGGGUGGUAGAAUUUCAGGUGUAGCGGUGAAAUGCGUAGAGAUCUGAAGGAAUACCGAUGGCGAAGGCAGCCACCUGGGUCAACACUGACGCUCAUGUACGAAAGCGUGGGGAGCAAACGGGAUUAGAUACCCCGGUAGUCCACGCCGUAAACGAUGUCUACUAGAAGCUCGGAACCUCGGUUCUGUUUUUCAAAGCUAACGCAUUAAGUAGACCGCCUGGGGAGUACGGCCGCAA
rnacentral:rRNA from 1 species